rnacentral:rRNA from 1 species
GACGAACGCUGGCGGCGUGCUUAACACAUGCAAGUCGAACGGAAAGGCCCUGCUUUUGUGGGGUGCUCGAGUGGCGAACGGGUGAGUAACACGUGAGUAACCUGCCCUUGACUUUGGGAUAACUUCAGGAAACUGGGGCUAAUACCGGAUAGGAGCUCCUGCUGCAUGGUGGGGGUUGGAAAGUUUCGGCGGUUGGGGAUGGACUCGCGGCUUAUCAGCUUGUUGGCGGGGUAGUGGCUUACCAAGGCUUUGACGGGUAGUCGGCCUGAGAGGGUGACCGGCGACAUUGGGACUGAGAGACGGCGCAGACGCGUACGGGGGGCAGCAGUGGGGAGUAUUGCACAAUGGGCGGAAGCGUGAUGCAGCAACGCCGCGUGCGGGAUGACGGCCUUCGGGUUGUAAACCGCUUUCGGCUGUGACGAAGCGUGAGUGACGGUAAUGGGUAAAGAAGCACCGGCUAACUACGUG